CCUCACACUGCUGUCUGCUUCCUCAGCUCUAGCACCUACUUCUUGGAAGGUAGCCAUAUGGGGCCCAGCAGAUGGAAUACAGGCCUUUUACUGGUCAUGACCUGCUGGCCUUGACUUCACUACCAAGAUCCACACUGACAAGCCUGCUUAGACCAGUGCUCCUAAGUGUUCCUGUCUUGAUGGAUUAGCUUGGCCAGGACAAGUUUACACAUCACUGGAGAAGUGUGAAGAGGGAGUGCGGAUGGAAAAAAAAUAGAGACACAAGAAGAGGUUUAUAAUGUUUGAAAUUAGGCAGCCCAGCCCGGAACUUUCCAUAAAAACUUUCUCCUG
rnacentral:lncRNA from 1 species